UUUGAAUUUCACUUUGACAACUGAUGAAUAUUUUAUAAGAAUUCAUAAAUUUAGGUGUCAGUAUUGAUACUAAUAUUUUAAUUUUUAGAAUUGGUUCCUCAGACGUCAGUGAACGAGACUUAAGACUUUAUUUUCAUGAUUUUCAACAGAACUAUUAAAAAGAAAAAUGGUGCAAAAUCAACAGUAUCUGGGUAUUUACUCAUAAAGAAAAGAGAGCUGGAGACUCCGAGAGGCAGGAAAAGAACAGACCAGGGAAUCACAGAUCCAUAUCAGAUAAUAAAAUUGAAUCGAAAAUUUAAA